rnacentral:rRNA from 1 species
UUACGGGAGGCAGCAGUGAGGAAUAUUGGACAAUGGGCGCAAGCCUGAUCCAGCCAUGCCGCGUGCAGGAAGAAGGUCCUAUGGAUUGUAAACUGCUUUUAUACAGGAAGAAACACUCCCUCGUGAGGGAACUUGACGGUACUGUAUGAAUAAGGACCGGCUAACUCCGUGCCAGCAGCCGCGGUAAUACGGAGGGUCCAAGCGUUAUCCGGAAUCAUUGGGUUUAAAGGGUCCGUAGGCGGCCAAAUAAGUCAGUGGUGAAAGCCCAUCGCUCAACGAUGGAACGGCCAUUGAUACUGUUUGGCUUGAAUUAUUAGGAAGUAACUAGAAUAUGUAGUGUAGCGGUGAAAUGCUUAGAGAUUACAUGGAAUACCAAUUGCGAAGGCAGGUUACUACUAAUAUAUUGACGCUGAUGGACGAAAGCGUGGGGAGCGAACAGGAUUAGAUACCCUGGUAGU